AGAGUUGUCAGUAUGUUAGGUGAAUAGAAGUCCAGAAUUGUUAUUUUGGCAUUCAGUUCUCAAGUGAGGAUUAUGUUGCAAGUGUCUUGUGUUAUGUAGUUUUAGUAUGUUGGAUUAGAUUUUAGUGGCUACUUGUUGCAGUAGCAUGUUAAACUUUGUUUGUUAAAUUCUAUUACGUUUUUAUUAUGAUUGGGUGGUUUUUGUAAGGGUGCUCUAUUAAA